UGAGUGUAAUCUGACAGAGGAAAGCUGUAGAGUUCUGUCCUCAGUUCUCAGCUCAAACUCCUCCAGUCUGAGAGAACUGAACCUGAGUGAGAAUAAACUGCAGGAUUCAGGAGUGAAGCUGCUCUCUGCUGGACUGGAGAAUCCACACUGUACACUGGAGAUACUGAGGUAUACACACACACACACACACACACACACACAGGUUCAGAUUAUCACCACCAAUUUAUUACCAAUUAUUACAUACAGAAAUGUGUGUGUGUGUGUGUUUAUGUAGCUGUAAAUUUUAGAAUAUGAUUUAAAUGUUUGUAAGAAACUGAAAUGUGUUUGUGAGAAUCAGAUUUAAUUUCUAGAUUAAUUCUAUAUCAUGAAUAAAUAAAAAUUGUACUUAUGAAUUGUAAUUAUAGCUGUUUAGAUCUUUUGUCUCUGCUUGAGGUGUAACACAAUGCUAUUAUCUGUAUCUGUUUAGUGCUUAAACUUUCUCACCAAAUUUUACAUAAUUAUAGCUGGUUAGAUUGUGUGUCUCUGCUAAAGUGCUCAAAAUAUUCAUAACUGUUUUUGUAUUCAGAUUUAAACAGGAAGUGGGCGUGGUCUGUAGCAGAGGGUUUUUCAUGUGAACCCUAUCUCUAUGCCCUGAAACACAGUGAAAAAAUCAGGGCUGCUGAAAAAGAAAACAUUUUUAUUCACUCCUUAUAACACAUUUAUUUAUUUAUUUAUUUAUUAAUUAGGAUUUUUAAAUUGUUUAACUUUAUUCAACUCCUGAACCAGACGUCCUGUGGAACUUUCUUGAAAACUUUCUAUAUUCUAUCUAAUGUGACUGCGUAAAAAACCUGUUUCAAAACAACGUCUUUCCCAAAUCAAGAAACUGUUAUUUAUCGUUGACAGCAACAGCCACCUAAUAAUAUUUUAUCGGAUGUACUUUAGCUUUUGUGUUUGUUACAUUCCAGAAAGAUCAGAAAAGUUCACUGGACACGCUAUCAGAAUCUGUUAUAAAGCUGGACAUGGUACCGGCUCCAUGAGGACAGAUAACAUCAGAGAAAUUGCCUUAUUGACCUCACUGUAAAGUACCACUAGUACUGGCAUGUUAUUAAGUGGUAGUGUACAGUUCUAUAAUUCUUUAUUUUCUGUAAUAAAAUGCACUAUAUCUGCAGUGUUGGUUGUAGAAACUUGAACACAGAUCAGAGUGUAUUGUUUGUAGGCUGCUCACUCUCACAUGUGUGUGUUAUGUACAUGACCUAAUGGUCUUAUAAUAAAUUGUAGCUGAGAGAUUGUGGAGUGCAGAAAGACGUCCCUGCUCCUGUAAAUGUGCUGAUGUGGUGUCCUGUCCUCUGAUUUGUGUGUGAGAGAGAAACACACUGACAUUUCUGUUACAUGUUAAACUUUAGCUGUAUUAUGGCUGUGUUUGUGUGUUUGAGAUCAGUGUUCUGAUAUUUCAUCGUUUCUCUUCCAGGCUGCGUGAGUGUAAUCUGACAGAGGAAAGCUGUAGAGUUCUGUCCUCAGUUCUCAGCUCAAACUCCUCCAGUCUGAGAGAACUGAACCUGAGUGAGAAUAAACUGCAGGAUUCAGGAGUGAAGCUGCUCUCUGCUGGACUGGAGAAUCCACACUGUACCCUGGAGAUACUGGAGCUGUGUAAGUGUAAUCUGACAGAGGAAAGCUGUAGAGUUCUGUCCUCAGUUCUCAGCUCAAACUCCUCCAGUCUGAGAGAACUGAACCUGAGUGACAAUAAACUGCAGGAUUCAGGAAUGAAGCUGCUCUCUGCUGGACUGAAGAAUCCACACUGUACACUAGAGAUACUGAGGAUGCGUUAUAGCAGUGUUACAGAUGAAGGUUGUGCUGCUGUGGCUUCAGCUCUGAGGUCAAACUCCUCAUCACACCUGAGAGAACUGGAUCUGUACGGUAAUAAUCCAGGAGAAUCAGGAGUGAAGCUGCUCUCUGAUCUACUGAAGGAUCCACACUGUAAACUGGAGACACUACACAUUCAGGAUUAUAAAUUCACCAGGACUGGCGUAUGACAGGAGUCUCACCUCAAACCUCUUUUCCAGGAUAAAGCAGUUUUGGUGAAGCGUUAGAACCCGUCCCACAUUUCCAGCAGUUUGGGAGCUGAAUCAUUCAUAUUCAGAUGUAGAAGUUCCAUAACAAUAACCGUGACUGAUCACAUCCUUUUAUCCACUCAGCUACAAGUUACUUCAGGCUUUAAUAACACAUUUUACAAUCCAAAGUCAAAUCCUUCAGCGUCUACACACAACACAGAGAUAUCAUCACAUCAUCACACUGAUUACACAAAUACCGAUCCAUGUGUUGUCACUGUUUAUAGCUUAGUUUUACCUCCACAUUUUUAUCUAACAUUUGUUUCUCCACAUAUGAUUGAGGAACAGUUGUAAUAUUCAAUUAAUCCUUUCUAUUAAAAAAAGUUCCUUGUUUGCUAAUGUAGUUUAAUAGUAACCAUGUUAACAGCUCUGUUGAUUGAUUUGUUUUUAUAGUGAUAAAAUGACCUCACUUCUAUCUGACCAGUUCCUUGGGUCCAGACCAGCAGGGUUCUUGUCCCAGACUUGAACAGUUUUUGCUGAACAAUAACUAGAUAUUUUCUGGUGAAAAGUACAGAAUGGUUCCAGCACUGGUACCUUAUUUCAGUACAGAAACAUACACAUUAUCUGAGUCUACACGAAAAUGUGUGUCUUGGGUCUAAAAUGUAAGCUCACAUCACUGAACAUGACAUCACUUCCUGUACACAUGACUACAAAAACCACCUGAAGCUGAAGAAUGUAGAAGCAGCUGAAAUGUUAUAAGAUUGUAGACUGAUAAGAACAGUCUAUAAGAACAGAAGGGUGAAAUAAACCUCUGCCUUCCUUCCUGCUAAUAAUCAUUAUGAUGAUGUUAAGAGAUUAAUAAUGUUCUUCUCUGGUGAUCAGUUCACACCAUUCCAGGAUUCAUUAUUCUGUAAUCUCACACCAGCUAAUUACAGUAAACAUGUAUAUGAGUGUAAGUAAGCUCAUGUGAUAAAACAAGUGAAAGAGCUGAACUAGAAAGUAACAUGUAUCACUGCAUCUAAGUUUGACUGUUUAAGAUAUUUAGAUUUUUAAAAAACUGUAACUGAAAAGCUUUAAGUACAUGCAUUGUAUAUAUUCCUGUCAUUUAAUGCAGUUUUGUAUAUAAGUUGUAUACACUCACUGUCCACUUUAUUAGGAACACCUGUACACAUCCAUGCAGUAUAUUGGCAAUUUGUAACAUCAAAUAUACAAUAUAUAAGCAAAUAAGCAAGAAAUAAAGGUGUUUUUAAUUUAUUUAU